AUUUAUUGGGCGUAAAGCGAGCGCAGGCGGUUUGAUAAGUCUGAUGUGAAAGCCUUUGGCUUAACCCAAAGAAGUGCAUCGGAAACUGUCAGACUUGAGUGCAGAAGAGGACAGUGGAACUCCAUGUGUAGCGGUGGAAUGCGUAGAUAUAUGGAAGAACACCAGUGGCGAAGGCGGCUGUCUGGUCUGCAACUGACGCUGAGGCUCGAAAGCAUGGGUAGCGAACAGGAUUAGAUACCCUGGUAGUCCAUGCCGUAAACGAUGAGUGCUAGGUGUUGGAGGGUUUCCGCCCUUCAGUGCCGCAGCUAACGCAUUAAGCACUCCGCCUGGGGAGUACGACCGCAAGGUUGAAACUCAAAGGAAUUGACGGGGGCCCGCACAAGCGGUGGAGCAUGUGGUUUAAUUCGAAGCUACGCGAAGAACCUUACCAGGUCUUGACAUCUUGCGCCAACCCUAGAGAUAGGGCGUUUCCUUCGGGAACGCAAUGACAGGUGGUGCAUGGUCGUCGUCAGCUCGUGUCGUGAGAUGUUGGGUUAAGUCCCGCAACGAGCGCAACCCUUGUUACUAGUUGCCAGCAUUCAGUUGGGCACUCUAGUGAGACUGCCGGUGACAAACCGGAGGAAGGUGGGGACGACGUCAGAUCAUCAUGCCCCUUAUGACCUGGGCUACACACGUGCUACAAUGGACGGUACAACGAGUCGCGAACUCGCGAGGGCAAGCUAAUCUCUUAAAACCGUUCUCAGUUCGGACUGCAGGCUGCAACUCGCCUGCACGAAGUCGGAAUCGCUAGUAAUCGCGGAUCAGCAUGCCGCGGUGAAUACGUUCCCGGGCCUUGUACACACCGCCCGUCACACCAUGAGAGUUUGCAACACCCAAAGUCGGUGGGGUAACCCUUCGGGGAGCUAGCCGC
rnacentral:rRNA from 2 species